rnacentral:tRNA from 1 species
GCUCCGGUGGUGUAAGGCGUAGUAUUGCUGCCCAGAAAGUAGAAGGUGUGGGUUCAAGUCCCGCCUGGCGCA